UUGAAGUUGGAAUUGGUUUUUGAUUUGUAUUUACAAUAGAAAUGGGGAAAGUGGGAAGUGGCCCAUGUAAAUCACAAAGCGUAGCCCAACAAAAACCAAAACGAUACGUUUGGCAAUUGUCAUGUCCCUUGUUAUUUCGAUACUGAAAUUGAAUCCCGAUUCCGAGAGAGAGAGAGAUAGCGGAAGACGAUGCUUUGACGGUGGCGUAGAGUGCGUUGGAGGCGAUUAGAGAGAAAGGUCUCGGCGGUUUCAUGAGGAUGAUCCGAGAAGAAGGCUUCUUAUUAUCUAUAGAAGAUAAAAGGAUUCAAGCUUUAUACAACAAUAAUCUUAUUUCCUUCUUUGAGCGGCUGUUUAGACUCGAGCCCUUCUUCCACUGGUUCUAGCCUUCUUCUUCAUGAAUACCAAAGGAACCCUCAGCUUAUCAGUCUCGUGACCAACACAAAGAUAAGAAAUUGUUUUCUUUAUAACAUGUACCUUAAAAGAUUCUUAAUCUAUGUAACUAACGUUUGUUUUGCUUCAUAGGUGAAGCUUAAUUUUUUAUUAUGAAAGUGGAAGUAAAUGAUUAGUGAAGAGUCGUGUCAUCUGUCCUCACAAGCAAUAGAGACAAAGGGUUUUGAGGGGAGAGUGAAUCACCUCUGGCAUGGCGUCGUGGACCAUCCACCAUUUUCGGUGAGCGAUAUCGGUAGCA